CUGACACAGGGAGGUAGUGACAAUAAAUAACAAUGCCGGGCCUUUACAGGUCUGGCAAUUGGAAUGAGAACAAUUUAAAUCCCUUAUCGAGUAUCAAUUGGAGGGCAAGUCUGGUGCCAGCAGCCGCGGUAAUUCCAGCUCCAAUAGCGUAUAUUAAAGUUGUUGCAGUUAAAAAGCUCGUAGUUGGAUUUCUGGCAGGAGUGACUGACCACAAACUCUGUUUGUGAGUUGUGUCAUUCUGGCCAUCCUUGGUAAGAUCCUUUUUGGCAUUAAGUUGUCGGGAAGGGGAUGACCAUCGUUUACUGUGAAAAAAUUAGAGUGUUUAAAGCAGGCUUAUGCCGUUGAAUAUAUUAGCAUGGAAUAAUAAGAUAGGACUUUGAGUCUAUUUUGUUGGUUUGCGAGUCAAAGUAAUGAUUAAUAGGGACAGUUGGGGGUAUUCGUAUUUCAUUGUCAGAGGUGAAAUUCUUGGAUUUCUGAAAGACGAACUACUGCGAAAGCAUUUACCAA
rnacentral:rRNA from 1 species